GGAAAACGUGGCCACAGGGUUGUGCUGUACCCACCUUUCCCCGGUGAGACGGCCCUCGGCCUGUGCCGCUGCUUCCACCCUCGCCACUCCAUGGCAGCUUUUGGUCUGUUUCCGGCUCUGCCCUCUGCCCUGAACUCUCAUCCGGCUUGUACCUGCCUGCUGGACCCCUCCACCUGGAGGCCAGCCCAUGUCUCAGGCCCAGCCCUACCCUCCUUUCCUCAAAUUCUAAGUGUUUUCUCUUUAGGUUUCCCUGGCUUUGUGAAUGGAUCAUGCGUCUGUAGGUUUCAUCUUUCCACCUGCCUCACCUCCACCAGAUCUCCCCAGUUCUGUCUCCAUCUUCCACCUGCAGCUGCUCUGUUGUCAUGGUCACUGCUGCAUCACUGAGUCUGGACCCUUGUUAUCAUUUUCAAACUGGCCUCCUUCCCUCGUUCCCCCCUUGUUAAAGCCACCUGUCCAUUGCCACCAGAUUAAGCUUUCUCCAGCCAGAUCACCUCUCUUUCAGAAACCUCCAUUGACAUGGAAACACCAUUGUCUGGCACACAUACUCACCUUCCCGUCUUGAUCCCCACGCAUCUUUCCAGCCUCCCCUCCCACUCCACUCCCCCCUCCCUCCUCCCCCUCCCCAUCCUCUUGCGUCCCCUCCCCUCUGAAUCCAGCCCAGUGGGGCUUCUCCUGCCUCCAUCACAUCACAGAAGUAUCUCCUGCUUCUGGUUUCAAUUAGAGCCUUCCCCGAUUACAUUUUCCUCUUGAAUUUUUUCCUGUCUACAUUUGAUCUGUCAUGUUUAAACCCCCUACUUCUAAGGGACCUUCUCUAAUCUCUUAUCCUCAUCCCCAAAUAGUGUUUUCUUCCUCUGGGUUCUUAUAAUGUUGGUAUCAAUCUCACAGCAUUUAGUGCUUCCUGCCUGGUGUGACAGUUACCUGUGUGCAUGUGCAAUUUCUAAUUUCCCACGCUAGACUGUGAGCUUCCUAAGGCAAGAAUCAUGCCUUGUUGGUUUCUGUAUUCCUCAUGGUGCCAAACACAGGUGCCUUGUACAUUGCAGGCGCUAAAUAAACAUUUUUAAAGCAAAGCGAUGUGGAUUUUUAAAAUAAAUAUUUAAGUGCUGGUAAGAUGAGCAUGUGUCCGGGGUGCCCAUGAAAUGUUCAUGGGGCUGUGUGGGGACAGUCGUCAUUCCUCCUCCUGCCACCCUUUUCUUGCAGCGAAUCACUGUGGAUGGUCCCAGCUGUGUCAUCCCAAAGUUCAGCAGGGAAAGCUGAGCUGGGCCUCUCCAGGUGAGUUUUCUAGAAGCAUUUCUCAAACUGUGGGUUACAUCAACUUGGGUGUCUUGAGCUGUAAGGAAGGAACUCCGGAGUCAGUUGGGCUACAGGGGAGCUUCUCUAAGUCCUGCGGGAGGCCAGACCCAGCCUGAGCUUACAGUUAGCUAGUGGAGGCAGCUGCUGGUGGCCCAGAUGCUCGACACAAGGCAUCCCCUCUCCUCCUAUGAAGGGUGUGCCAUAAUCCCUUUCAACAGGAACUGCUUCCCAGAAGCCUCUCAGCAGCCUCCCCUCCUGUCCCAUCCGCUAGAAGCGCCUCGCUUGUCCCAAGACCAGCAGGGACAGGGAACUGUCCGAGCCCGUGGCUGUGUGGAGGAAGGCGACCCCCAGCACAAGACUGGAUUCCUUUGGGAAGGGAAGAGGGAGUGUGUUGGGGUAAGGGGUAGAGCAGGGGAAUGGUCAUGGGGCAACAACCUCUGACAGCUGCAACAGGUGCAUGGCAUCUCACAGGGAGGCAGGGAGGUGCGAGCUCCUGAGUAAUGGAGCAAAAAAAUUCUGUAGAAUGGGGAGAGAAAAUGUGACUUUUUAAAUUUUUUUUUUGCAUUUAUAUUCCUAAUUCCUACUUAUAAUAAAGAGAGUAUACUGCCGCUGUAGGUCAUAAAAUGUAUCUUUUCCGUGGCCAACAAGGGGCAUCUUUUAUAAAUGCAUAAUAACCCAGUUUGUAUCAAAGGGUAUCGACUUAAGUGAAAUUUCAACAUGCUGUUACUUUUUCCUUUUAAUGUAAUUCUGUUUUCCAAAUAAGUGGGGGAGACAAAUGGA